rnacentral:tRNA from 1 species
GGAGAGGUGUCCGAGUGGUCGAAGGAGGCGGUCUUGAAAACCGUUGAACCUUAGAGGUUCCGUGGGUUCGAAUCCCACCUUCUCCG